rnacentral:rRNA from 1 species
AACGAACGCUGGCGGCAGGCCUAACACAUGCAAGUCGAGCGAAGCCUUCGGGCUUAGCGGCGGACGGGUGAGUAACGCGUGGGAACGUGCCCUUUGGUACGGAAUAGCCCCGGAAAACUGGGAGUAAUACCGUAUGUGGUCGAGAGACGAAAGAUUUAUCGCCAAAGGAUCGGCCCGCGUUGGAUUAGGUAGUUGGUGGGGUAAUGGCCUACCAAGCCGACGAUCCAUAGCUGGUUUGAGAGGAUGAUCAGCCACACUGGGACUGAGACACGGCCCAGACUCCUACGGGAGGCAGCAGUGGGGAAUCUUAGACAAUGGGGGAAACCCUGAUCUAGCCAUGCCGCGUGAUCGAUGAAGGCCUUAGGGUUGUAAAGAUCUUUCAGUGGGGAAGAUAAUGACUGUACCCACAGAAGAAGCCCCGGCUAACUCCAUGCCAGCCGCCGCCGUAAGAC